GCAAAACAAAUCAGAUCAGAACAGCUGAUCCUCCACAUUCUGGUGCUGAAGAUUCCAACCAAAAUUCUUAAAUAUUGCACUGUAAUACUGUAAGUAACCUUCACUUUAAAAUGAAUGAAUGACCACAUUUGGAACAUGUAAAAGGAGAGGUUAAAACAAAGAUUUGGAGCCACUGUUGUAGAUUUCUCCGUUCGGCCCUAAAUGCACUCCAUGUUGGCCACAUCACUGGAACACUGAGCUGCAGCGGACAGGCUGCCGAGAAGUUUCAAAGGGCCAUUUUUUAUAAAGCAAUGAGCUCGGGGAAGUAUCUGACAAACGCAAGUUCAUGUCUGCCUGUGCCCGGAGGAUUGUGGCUUCAAGGAACACUCCAGCUUCAAAACUGCGAGAUCACCAGAAAUGACUUUGGGGGGUGGAGGUUCCAGCAUUUUUGUCAGCUUUAGUUUGAAGGAUGCAGCCCCCCCUUCUC